GGAGUUAGGAAAUGUAAGUGCGCUAAUAUCGCAUUUAUUUGACAAAGGCUCCAAAGGAAGCCACGGCUAACUCUGUGCCGGCAGCCGCGGUAAUACAGAGGUGGCAAGCGUUGUUCGGAAUUAUUGGGCGUAAAGAGCACGUAGGUGGGUUUGUAAGUCAGAUGUGAAAGCCUUCUGUUCAACGGAAGGAUUGCAUCUGAAACUACAAGUCUUGAGUGUAGGAGGGGAGAGUGGAACUUCUG
rnacentral:rRNA from 1 species